UGAGAAUCAAAAUCGGUGAAUAGGCAGACAGACUUGUCACUGGAUUUAGAGUCUCUCAGCUGGUACACGGCAGGGUCAGGGUUCUGGAUAUUGGAAAGACUUGUAAUCUGGUCCCAGUCCCAAAGAUGAGCUUGUCGGUGUUAUAAGACACAGUGAUAGAAGUACACUGCAGAGUCUCCAGGCUGGGAGGGCACAAUGUGCAGAGAGAGGUGCUUGGCACUUUUGUUUAAGAAAACAGUGAAUCUUCCAUCUUCAUUUUUAUCCUUAAUGGAACUUAUAGAUAUCAGGAAUGUAGGACCUUCAGCAGGGUAUUUUUUGUACCAUAGGAAAUAAUCAAACAUGCUGUUAGUAUAGUCACAGUUCAGAAUAGAAAUUCUUCCUUCCUG
rnacentral:lncRNA from 1 species